rnacentral:rRNA from 1 species
UGGGGAAUAUUGCGCAAUGGGGGGAACCCUGACGCAGCCAUGCCGCGUGAAUGAAGAAGGCCUUCGGGUUGUAAAGUUCUUUCGGUAUUGAGGAAGGUUGAUGUGUUAAUAGUACAUCAAAUUGACGUUAAAUACAGAAGAAGCACCGGCUAACUCCGUGCCAGCAGCCGCGGUAAUACGGAGGGUGCGAGCGUUAAUCGGAAUAACUGGGCGUAAAGGGCACGCAGGCGGUUAUUUAAGUGAGGUGUGAAAGCCCCGGGCUUAACCUGGGAAUUGCAUUUCAGACUGGGUAACUAGAGUACUUUAGGGAGGGGUAGAAUUCCACGUGUAGCGGUGAAAUGCGUAGAGAUGUGGAGGAAUACCGAAGGCGAAGGCAGCCCCUUGGGAAUGUACUGACGCUCAUGUGCGAAAGCGUGGGGAGCAAACAGGAUUAGAUACCCUGGUAGUCCACGCUGUAAACGCUGUCGAUUUGGGGGUUGGGGUUUAACUCUGGCGCCCGUAGCUAACGUGAUAAAUCGACCGCCUGGGGAGUACGGCCGCAAGGUUA